AGGAGCGUCGUCGCACGACAAGUAAAAUCAAGUCGAGGAACGCUCGUUACAGAGUUAAGCAAACGAGGUUGAUCGUGAUCGAAUCGAGAAGGUGUUGGGAGAGGCUUAUAAAUAAGUAGCUAGGUAGCUGAAUUAAUAUGUCUCCAUACAUAUUACUUCGUCUUGGAACCUUCCGUUGCGUGGUUAAGCAUUGCUUUAGCAAUAUAAUACACUUGGUUAAUUACUCUGAUUUCGAUUUGGUUGUACCCUUUCAUUCUAAGACAUUUUGCCCUUGAAUUAAGUACUUCUUUAUGGCGA